rnacentral:rRNA from 1 species
AUUGAACGCUGGCGGCAUGCUUUACACAUGCAAGUCGAACGGCAGCGCGGGCUUCGGCCUGGCGGCGAGUGGCGAACGGGUGAGUAAUACAUCGGAACGUGCCCUGUAGUGGGGGAUAGCUCGGCGAAAGCCGGAUUAAUACCGCAUACGACCUGAGGGUGACAGCGGGGGAUCUUCGGACCUCGCGCUAUUUGAGCGGCCGAUGGCAGAUUAGCUAGUUGGUGGGGUAAAGGCCUACCAAGGCGACGAUCUGUAGCUGGUCUGAGAGGACGACCAGCCACACUGGGACUGAGACACGGCCCAGACUCCUACGGGAGGAAGCAGUGGGGAAUUUUGGACAAUGGGCGAAAGCCUGAUCCAGCAAUGCCGCGUGUGUGAUGAAGGCCUUCGGGUUGUAAAACACUUUUGGCGGGAACGAAAAGGACUGUGCCAAUACCACGGUUCGAUGACGGUACCCGCAGAAUAAGCACCGGCUAACUACGUG